rnacentral:misc_RNA from 1 species
GGCAAGGGAACGAAGGCAGCGGGAGAGCGAGUCCAGGCGGUUGAAUGCAAGGACUUUGAUGAGGAAAGUGAAUGUGGGGGUGUUUUGGGGACUGAGUGGUUUGUUAUCAUUAUUUGUUGGACUAAAAUUAGGGUUAGGAUUAGGGCUUAAAUGGGUGAUGGGAAGAGAGGAAUGAUAAUGGGAAAAAAAGAAGAGCACAAAUAGGGAUAGAAGGAAGAUUAGAGGGAGGAAAUGUUUCUUCGGUGCACCCACCAUUUGUCUUCUUAUAGUUAUGGCCAGGAAAGGAAAGGCAUUGCAGGAUAUAGGGAGAGAGCAAGAGAGAAGAAAGUUAAAGAGAAGGUCAGGAGGUGGAUAAUUCUGAGAGAUAUGUCUUUGUCUUUUUCAUAAAAGUAAUUAUUGCUGAUGUUUUCAGCUAAUAAAUCUUCAAACCCUCUGAAAAAAUCGACGCUGGCGAAGGUGAGGUUGAUUUAG